rnacentral:rRNA from 1 species
AGGACGAACGCUGGCGGCGUGCUUAACACAUGCAAGUCGAACGGGCCUGUGGCACUUGUGUCGCGGGUUAGUGGCGAACGGGUGAGUAACACGUGAGUAACCUGCCCCAGACUCUGGGAUAACUCCGGGAAACCGGUGCUAAUACUGGAUAUGACAUCAAGCCGCAUGGUUAUGGUGUGGAAAGUUUUUCGGUCUGGGAUGGGCUCGCGGCCUAUCAGCUUGUUGGUGAGGUAGUGGCUCACCAAGGCGACGACGGGUAGCCGGCCUGAGAGGGCGAUCGGCCACACUGGGACUGAGACACGGCCCAGACUCCUACGGGAGGCAGCAGUGGGGAAUAUUGCACAAUGGGCGCAAGCCUGAUGCAGCGACGCCGCGUGAGGGAUGACGGCCUUCGGUUGGUAAACCUCUUUCAGCAGGGAGAAGCCUUUCGGGGUGACGGUACCUGCAGAAGAAGCGACCGGCUAACUACGUGCCAGCAGCCGCGGUAA